AGGGAUGUAGCGCAGCUUGGUAGUGCCUUUGUUUUGGGUUCAAAGUGUCACGGGUUCCAAUCCUGUCAUUCCUA
rnacentral:tRNA from 1 species